rnacentral:rRNA from 1 species
GACGAACGCUGGCGGCGUGCCUAAUACAUGCAAGUCGAGCGAAGUUUUUCUGGUGCUUGCACCGGAAAAACUUAGCGGCGAACGGGUGAGUAACACGUAAAGAACCUGCCUCAUAGACUGGGACAACUAUUGGAAACGAUAGCUAAUACCGGAUAACAGCAUUAACUGCAUGGUUGAUGUUUAAAAGUUGGUUUUGCUAACACUAUGAGAUGGCUUUGCGGUGCAUUAGCUAGUUGGUGGGGUAAAGGCCUACCAAGGCGACGAUGCAUAGCCGACCUGAGAGGGUGAUCGGCCACACUGGGACUGAGACACGGCCCAGACUCCUACGGGAGGCAGCAGUAGGGAAUCUUCCGCAAUGGGCGAAAGCCUGACGGAGCAACGCCGCGUGAGUGAAGAAGGAUUUCGGUUCGUAAAGCUCUGUUGUUAGGGAAGAAUGAUUGUGUAGUAACUAUACACAGUAGAGACGGUACCUAGCCAGAAAGCCACGGCUAACUACGUG